CUUGGUGACUGUGGCGAAACGCCUAAACCCGAUCCCAUCCCGAACUCGGAAGUUAAACGUUUCAGCGCCGAUGGUACUGC
rnacentral:rRNA from 1 species